AGAGUUGAUCCUGACUCAGGAUGAACGCUAGCGGCAUACUAACACAUGCAAGUCGAGGGGUAUAGAUUAGCUUGCUAAUCUAGAGACCGGCGCACGGGUGAGUAACGCGUAUGCAACCUACCUUUCACAAAGGGAUAGCCCGGAGAAAUUCGGAUUAAUACCUUAUAGUAUUACGAUAUAGCAUUGUAUUGUAAUUAAAGUUUCAACGGUAAAAGAUGGGCAUGCGUCCUAUUAGUUAGAUGGUGUGGUAACGGCACACCAUGGCUACGAUAGGUAGGGGUCCUGAGAGGGAGAUCCCCCACACUGGAACUGAGACACGGACCAGACUCCUACGGGAGGCAGCAGUGAGGAAUAUUGGACAAUGGUCGCAAGACUGAUCCAGCCAUGCCGCGUGCAGGAAGACUGCCCUAUGGGUUGUAAACUGCUUUUAUAUGGGAAGAAUAAGAGCUACGUGUAGCUUGAUGACGGUACCAUAUGAAUAAGCAUCGGCUAACUCCGUGCCAGCAGCCGCGGUAAUUC
rnacentral:rRNA from 1 species